GUGGUCAGCCCUGGAGACAGAAGUCCUCUGUUUAUCCACUGAGCCCAUACAAUGUGGGAAGCGGCAGCACAAACUUCCCAUGCACCACCUGGCCAAUGCCCUUCAAUGCAUCUGACCUGGGGCACAAGAGGGGAGUUCACUCUCCAGGCCCUUCCAGUUCUUGACCUGU
ensembl:misc_RNA